rnacentral:rRNA from 1 species
CCUACGGGUGGCAGCAGUGAGGAAUAUUGGUCAAUGGACGGAAGUCUGAACCAGCCAUGCCGCGUGCAGGAAGACGGCUCUAUGAGUUGUAAACUGCUUUUGUACAAGAGUAAACCUGGAUACGUGUCUUCAGCUUAGAGUACUGUACGAAUAAAGAUCGGCUAACUCCGUGCCAGCAGCCGCGGUAAUACGGAGGAUCCAAGCGUUAUCCGGAUUUAUUGGGUUUAGAGGGUGAGUAGGCGGAUUGAUAAGUUAGAGGUGAAAUGUCCGAGCUUAACUCGGGAACUGCCUCUAAUACUGUUGAUCUAGAGAGUAGAUGCGGUAGGCGGAAUGUAUGGUGUAGCGGUGAAAUGCUUAGAGAUCAUACAGAACACCGAUUGCGAAGGCAGCUUACUAAUCUAUAUCUGACGUUGAGGCACGAAAGCGUGGGGAGCAAACAGGAUUAGAUACCCGAGUAGUC